CCUACGGGAGGCAGCAGUGAGGAAUAUUGGUCAAUGGACGCGAGCCUGAACCAGCCAAGUAGCGUGAAGGAUGACUGCCCUAUGGGUCGUAAACCUCUUUUAUAAAGGAAUAAAGUGUGGCACGUGUGCCUUUUUGUAUGUACUUUAUGAAUAAGGAUCGGCUAACUCCGUGCCAGCAGCCGCGGUAAUACGGAGGAUCCGAGCGUUAUCCGGAUUUAUUGGGUUUAAAGGGAGCGUAGAUGGGUUGUUAAGUCAGUUGUGAAAGUUUGCGGCUCAACCGUAAAAUUGCAAUUGAUACUGGCAGUCUUGAGUACAGUUGAGGUAGGCGGAAUGCGUGGUGUAGCGGUGAAAUGCUUAGAUAUCACGAAGAACCCCGAUUGCGAAGGCAGCUUACUAAGCUGUGACUGACAUUGAUGCUCGAAAGUGUGGGUAUCAAACAGGAUUAGAUACCCCAGUAGUC
rnacentral:rRNA from 1 species